rnacentral:rRNA from 1 species
UACGUAGGGUGCAAGCGUUGUCCGGAAUUAUUGGGCGUAAAGAGCUCGUAGGCGGUCUGUUGCGUCGGCUGUGAAAACCCGGGGCUCAACUCCGGGCCUGCAGCCGAUACGGGCAGACUAGAGUUCGGCAGGGGAGACUGGAAUUCCUGGUGUAGCGGUGAAAUGCGCAGAUAUCAGGAGGAACACCGGUGGCGAAGGCGGGUCUCUGGGCCGGUACUGACGCUGAGGAGCGAAAGCGUGGGUAGCAAACAGG